rnacentral:rRNA from 1 species
GACGAACGCUGGCGGCGUGCUUAACACAUGCAAGUCGAACGGAAAGGCCUCUUUGGGGGUACUCGAGUGGCGAAAGGGUGUGAAAAACGGGAGUAACCUGCCCUAGAACUGGGGGUAACUUCAGGAAACUGGGGCUAAUACCGGAUAGGAAUCCUUGCAGCAGGGUGGGGGUUGGAAAGCUUCGGCGGAUUUGGAUGGACACGCGGCUUAUCAGCUUGUUGGUGGGGUAGUGGCUUACCAAGGCUUUGACGGGUAGCCGGCCUGUGAGGGCGACCGGCCACAUUGGGACUGAGUUACGGCCCAGACUCCUACGGGAGGCAGCAGUGGGGAAGAUUGCACAAUGGGCGGAAGCCUGAUGCAGCAACGCCGCGUGCGGGAUGACGGACUUCGGGUUGUAAACCGCUUUCAGCAGGGGCGAAGCUUGUGGUGACGGUACCUGCAGAAGAAGCACCGGCUAACUACGUG